GUGUGUGUUUGCCAGUACAUGUGAGUGUGUGUGUGUGUGAGUGUCAGUGAAUGUGAGUGAGUGUGUUUAUCAGUGAGUGUGUGUCUGUCAGUGAGUGUGAGUGUGUGUCAAUUAUUAUGUGUGUGUGUCAUUGUGUGAGUGUGUCUCAUUGUGUGUGUGCAUCUGUCAGUGAGUUUGUGUUGGUCUGUCAGUGAAUGUGUGUGUCUGAGUGAUUGUGCAUGUCUGUCAGUAAGUGGGUGCAUCUGUCAGUGCUUAUGUGUGUCUGUCAGUGAGUGUAUGCAUCUGUCAGUGUGUAUCUGAAUGAUUGUAUGUGUCUGUCAGAUUGUGUCAAAUCAGUGAGUGUAUGUGUGUGUAUAUGUCAGUAUAUCUGAGAGUGUGUGCUGGUCUGUGAGUGUGUGUCUGUCAGUAAAAAUGUG